ACGGGAGGCAGCAGUGGGGAAUAUUGGACAAUGGGGGAAACCCUGAUCCAGCGACGCCGCGUGAGUGAAGAAGUAUUUCGGUAUGUAAAGCUCUAUCAGCAAGGAAGAAAAUGACGGUACCUGACUAAGAAGCCCCGGCUAACUACGUGCCAGCAGCCGCGGUAAUACGUAGGGGGCAAGCGUUAUCCGGAUUUACUGGGUGUAAAGGGAGCGUAGACGGCGCUGCAAGUCAGAUGUGAAAGGCUGGGGCUUAACCCCGGGACUGCAUUUGAAACUGCAGUGCUCGAGUGCCGGAGAGGUAAGCGGAAUUCCUAGUGUAGCGGUGAAAUGCGUAGAUAUUAGGAGGAACACCAGUGGCGAAGGCGGCUUACUGGACGGUAACUGACGUUGAGGCUCGAAAGCGUGGGGAGCAAACAGGAUUAGAUACCCUGGUA
rnacentral:rRNA from 1 species